rnacentral:rRNA from 1 species
UACAGAGGAGCCAAGCGUUGUCCGGAUUGACUGGGCGUAAAGCGCACGCAGGCGGACGCGCGCGUGGGGUGUGAAAUCUGGCCGCUUAACGGCCAGGCGCCAUCCCAUACGGCGCGUCUGGAGUUAUGCAGAGGUCGGUGGAAUUGCCGGUGUAGUGGUGAAAUGCGUAGAGAUCGGCAGGAACACCCAGGGGGAAACCAGCCGACUGGGCAUCUGCUGACGCUGAGGUGCGAGAGCGUGGGGAGCGAACCGG